GUAAUCAGGCCGGAAAUAAAUAAUCUUUGUCCAGCUUUGAGUGCAUCGCUAAUGGGUGAGGAAUACUGUAGUUUUCCGGGAUUUGCAAAGGAAAAGGAGUAAUAAUCUCAAAUGCUCCAAAUGAAGUGAACAAACAAACACAACUCAUUCCAGAUAUUUAACAAGGACGAACAAGGACAGCAAACUUGAAAAGCCAAAGCAACAUAGCAGUCACAAUUUCUGCAGAUAAAAAAGACAGAAUUAGUUGAAAUCUAUAUGUUGAAAAAAAAUUGAAAUAUAAUAUUGACCAAAAAAAAAAAAAAAGCUCUACAUGGUAUGGGUUUGGUGCCUGAUUUCAUGACUUUACACUGAAAUCAAAGCUGUUGCAGCAGCCUCGCUUUAGAACAGUGACUCAAGCUCCUAACAUGCUCCAGAAGGAAACAGGGCUGGACAAUUCGGACCAGGUUUUGUUAUUGCAGUUACCCAAAGACUGCAACUGGUUCACUGGGGCAGAAGACUCUUUCUCUCUUCGGCAAAACUCAUAAAGAGAGCUUGGUUUUUGAAAAGCAGCAAAUCAGAUGUCGAGAAACUGCAAUUCCUAUUAAGAACACUUGACUGUUUACUCAGCAAGAGAACUUCAGGCUCAGGCUGCAUCAAUCUAAAUGCGUUUCAGGACGUCAGUCUUUUGAAAAGUGCAGACUGAAGAAGAGCUGAUGCCAAAAAGAAGGGAUCCUGAAAAAAAGUGAUGUCAGAAAGAAGGGGACUGGGAAAGAAAAAGGUAAAGAUCCUGGCUAGAGGAAAGAUCCUGAAAGUGGGGGAAGAUCCUGAAGAUCGGAGAGCUGUGUGGAGAAGAAUGCUGGGGGAUGUCCAGGGACCUUGGCCAGUUAAUGUCCAAGACUGGCAACUCUCUGUGCUUUUCCUGGGGCUUGUGGUUGAUUUCUUCAUUCUGGAGUGCGAAGACCCUCAAAUUCCUAUCCUCUGCUCCAGCUGUGGGCUGCUGGGUCUUAAGUAUGUACUUAAAUGCCUGAAUUAGGACUCUGGAAGACUGAGCAGCAAAAAGAAAAGCAAAUAUUUGAUUUGAUUGAUUUUAAUUCACCUUUGGGAAUGAAGAUUCGGACCAGUUUGGACCCCAUGAAUACAAAAACAGGUGCAGCAAAGGAGUGUGUGGCCAGUGGAAAAUUAUUCCCAUCUUUUUCUGUCUGUGAGAAGGCUACUUAA
rnacentral:lncRNA from 1 species